CAACUACAACUACAAGACCAACUUCAACAUCCACAUCAACUUCGACCUCAACUUCCACGACGGUAUCAACUACAACAACCGUAACUACAACUACAACCACUCCAACGACAACCACUGCGUCGUGCCCAGCCGUCAGCUGCACCGUAGAUCAAGCCUUGUGGAAUGAAGUUAACACUUUCAACA